AGUGAACGCUGGCGGUAGGCCUAACACAUGCAAGUCGAACGGCAGCACAGUAAGAGCUUGCUCUUACGGGUGGCGAGUGGCGGACGGGUGAGGAAUACAUCGGAAUCUACUUUUUCGUGGGGGAUAACGUAGGGAAACUUACGCUAAUACCGCGUACGACCUACGGGUGAAAGCAGGGGAUCUUCGGACCUUGCGCGAUUGAAUGAGCCGAUGUCGGAUUAGCUAGUUGGCGGGGUAAAGGCCCACCAAGGCGACGAUCCGUAGCUGGUCUGAGAGGAUGAUCAGCCACACUGGAACUGAGACACGGUCCAGACUCCUACGGGAGGCAGCAGUGGGGAAUAUUGGACAAUGGGCGCAAGCCUGAUCCAGCCAUACCGCGUGGGUGAAGAAGGCCUUCGGGUUGUAAAGCCCUUUUGUUGGGAAAGAAAAGCAGCAGGUUAAUACCCCGCUGUUCUGACGGUACCCAAAGAAUAAGCACCGGCUAACUUCGU
rnacentral:rRNA from 1 species